AAUUUGGAUACUCGAUGCCAACAAAAGAUGAGAAAAAGGUGGAAGGAGCAGUAGCAGAUGUUUGAAUGACUAUUCAAUGUACUUCUGAAUGCAAUGACGGUAGAAACACAAAGAAGAUUUGAUUUCGUACGAGAAGAUGGUCACAUUGGAAGAAGAAUGAGUACGAUUGACGACUAUCAAAAUAAUGUGUGAGACUGUGUGGGUAAAGAGAGCGAGGCUAUUUACAACACGAUCCACACGCCCGACGAUUCUUUUUCACUGAUCGGCGACACGUGAUCAACAUGUGGCUGCGGUUGGGUUCACCCUUUUCUUUUUCCAACUGAUGCGAUCAUCU
ensembl:ncRNA R03E9.10 ncRNA